GAAAGGGUGUCAAACUCCAUACAGCGCACUCGGACCCAGGCGCUGCAAUGUCAACGUUCACUCAUGUCAGGAGAAGGUUGUCCAGAGAUUAUUUGACGACCCAGAAGAUGAGCAGAGCACAUCUGGGCCAGACAAGGAUCCGGAGACUCAAUCCAAGCGGCUCCCAGUGCAAACCUCAUCUUGUUCUUCCAGUAAGGAGCCGGUAGAUGCAUACAG